CAGUAGCCGCGGGAAUACGUAGGGGGCAAGCGUUGUCCGGAAUUAUUGGGCGUAAAGCGCGCGCAGGCGGUUUUUUAAGUCUGGUGUCUAAGUGCGGGGCUCAACCCCGUGACGCACUGGAAACUGGGAGACUUGAGUGCAGAAGAGGAGAGCGGAAUUCCACGUGUAGCGGUGAAACGCGUAGAGAUGUGGAGGAACACCAGUGGCGAAGGCGGCUCUCUGGACUGUAACUGACGCUGAGGCGCGAAAGCGUGGGGAGCAAACAGGAUUAGAUACCCGCGUAGUCCCUGUCUCUUAUACA
rnacentral:rRNA from 1 species